GCAGAUAUAACUCGAAGUCUUUGGAUCACCUCGCCUCAAGGAUAGUAUGGCUGAGCAGAAGAACCUGGAUCUGCACACGAAAAACAUGUGCAGGAAAGGGCAUGAGUACACCACAACGGUACCCAGUAAGUGACAAGCCCAACCUCGGUCGAGUAGUGACGAGAUCAGGUCAAGAACCUAUAGAUUAUAUAUAUAUAUAUAUAUAUAUAUAUACAUACAUACAUAACAAGGUAAAAUAGUAUGAAAGGUUAUAGUAUAAUUAAGAUACUAUCAGUCAAUAAAGAUGAAAUCACAGAAAGAAAUAACUCGGUACAAAGAGAUAGCAGCAGGGGAUCUCCCAGGAUAAUGUCCCGUAUUCCUAAACGUAAAUGUACAGAGGAUCUUCCAGGAUACCUUCCCGUAGUUCAAAUCAUAAAUGUGCAAGGGGAUUUCCCGGAAUACCAUUCCGUAAUCCCAAGUAAAUAUCGAGUACAGGGGGAUCUCCCGGGAUACCGUCUCGUAGUCCCAAAUAUAAAUGUGUAGGGGAAUAUCGUUCCGUAGUCCCAAAGUAAAUACUCAAUCAAAUCAAUAUAUACAACAGUCUCAAGAAGGAAGUCUACAGUUCAAGUUUGUAUCAAAUAAAUGGGUAAUUUCUACCCUAAACAUAAUACACAGAAUCCAAGUAAACAAUUAAAGCAGGUAAGACAGUUAAGUCACGUAAGCAUGCUUUACUAAGCUAAAUAGGAGGCUUCAUACACCGGUAUUGCUCAAUUUAAAGGAAAACAUAGAUAUUUGCUUAAUGAAAAUGAGGGUUUUCAACAAUUAGCACAUGUACGCACUCGUCACCUUACGUACACGCCAUUCAUAUAACAACAGUACCAAAAUCCUAAGGAGAUUUCCCCCACACAAGGUUAGGCAAGCCACUUACCAUGAACCAAGCUAAAAUCAAUCCUAGGUAAGCCUAAUCAAUUUUGGGAAAAAUGAAUUAAGGUUACAAAACUAGACAAUUAACAGGUAAAUAUGAUAAAAAGUUUAAAAUGCCGCUCGGCAUAUACAAUAAUAACACUCUCGACUGAACAUAACACUCCCAAAACCCGAAAUCUUAUAAAUCACAAACUAAAGAAAAAUACAGAGUGUUCUCACUCCAGAAGUCUAAACAAAGUAAAAUACAAGAAGUCUAUAACUGAAGGGAGAAUGGAGAGGGAAUUCUAGGUCUGCGGACGUGGCAGAUAUAACUCGAAGUCUUUGGAUCACCUCGCCUCAAGGAUAGUAUGGCUGAGCAGAAGAACUUGGAUCUGCACACGAAAAACAUGUGCAGGAAAGGGCAUGGUUACACCACAACGGUACCCAGUAAGUGCCAAGCCCAACCUCGGUCGAGUAGUGACGAGAUUAGGUCAGGGCCCUAUAGAUUAUAUAUAUAUAUAUAUCAGUCAAUAAAGAUGAAAUCACAGAAAGAAAUAACUCGGUACAAAGAGAUAGCAGCAGGGGAUCUCCCAGGAUAACGUCCCGUAUUCCUAAACGUAAAUGUACAGAGGAUCUUCCAGGAUACCUUCCCGUAAUUCAAAUCAUAAAUGUGCAAGGGGAUUUCCCGGAAUACCAUUCCGUAAUUCCAAGUAAAUAUCGAGUACAGGGGGAUCUCCCGGGAUACCGUCUCGUAGUCCCAAAUAUAAAUGUGCAGGGGAAUAUCCUGGAAUAUCGUUCCGUAGUCCCAAAGUAAAUAUUCAAUCAAAUCAAUAUAUACAACAGUCUCAAGAAGGAAGUCUACAGUUCAAGUUUGUAUCAAAUAAAUAGGUAAUUUCUACCCUAAACAUAAUACACAGAAUCCAAGUAAACAAUUAAAGCAGGUAAGACAGUUAAGUCACGUAAGCAUGCUUUCCUAAGCUAAAUAGGAAGCUUCAUAUACUGGUAUUGCUCAAUUUAAAGGAAACCAUAGAUAUUUGCUUAAUGAAAAUGGGGGUUUUCAACAAUUAGCACAGGUACGCACUCGUCACCUUACGUACACGGCAUUCAUAUAACAACAGUACCAAAAUCCUAAGGAGAUUUCCCCCACACAAGGUUAGGCAAGCCACUUACCACGAACCAAGCUAAAAUCAAUCCUAGGUAAGCCUAAUCAAUUUUGGGAAAAAUGAAUUAAGGUUACAAAACUAGCCAAUUAACAGGUAAAUAUGAUAAAAAGUUUAAAAUGCCGCUCGGCAUAUACAAUAAUAACACUCUCGACUGAACAUAGCACUCCCAAAACCCGAAAUCUCAUGAAUCACAAACUAAAGAAAAAUACAGAGUGUUCUCACUCCAGAAGUCUAAACAAAGUAAAAUACAAGAAGUCUAUAACUGAAGGGAGAAUAGAGAGGGAAUUCUAGGUCUGCGGACGUGGCAUAUAUAACUCGUAGUCUUUGGAUCACCUCGCCUCAAGGAUAGUAUGGCUGAGCAGAAGAACCUGGAUCUGUACACGAAAAACAUGUGCAGGAAAGGGCAUGGGUACACCACAACGGUACCCAGUAAGUGCCAAGCCCAACCUCGGUCGAGUAGUGACGAGAUUAGGUCAGGGCCCUAUAGAUUAUAUAUAUAUAUAUAUAACAAGGUAAAAUAGUAUGAAAGGUGAUAGUAUAAUUAAGAUACUAUCAGUCAAUAAAGAUGAAAUCACAGAAAGAAAUAACUCGGUACAAAGAGAUAGCAGCAGGGGAUCUCCCAGGAUAACGUCCCGUAUUCCUAAACGUAAAUGUACAGAGGAUCUUCCAGGAUACCUUCCCGUAAUUCAAAUCAUAAAUGUGCAAGGGGAUUUCCCGGAAUACCAUUCCGUAAUUCCAAGUAAAUAUCGAGUACAGGGGGAUCUCCCGGGAUAUCGUCUCGUAGUCCCAAAUAUAAAUGUGUAGGGGAAUAUCGUUCCGUAGUCCCAAAGUAAAUACUCAAUCAAAUCAAUAUAUACAACAGUCUCAAGAAGGAAGUCUACAGUUCAAGUUUGUAUCAAAUAAAUAGGUAAUUUCUACCCUAAACAUAAUACACAGAAUCUAAGUAAACAAUUAAAGCAGGUAAGACAGUUAAGUCACGUAAGCAUGCUUUCCUAAGCUAAAUAGGAAGCUUCAUAUACGGGUAUUGCUCCAUUUAAAGGAAACCAUAGAUAUUUGCUUAAUGAAAAUGGGGGUUUUCAACAAUUAGCACAUGUACGCACUCGUCACCUUACGUACACGGCAUUCAUAUAACAACAAUACCAAAAUCCUAAGGAGAUUUCCCCCACACAAGGUUAGGCAAGCCACUUACCACGAACCAAGCAAAAAUCAAUCUGAUAUCACGCCCUUGCCAUGAGUAUCCAACUCCGAGUGGCCCAAAUCUAAUCAAAUCAAUUACAUAACGUAAAUAAAACUACAAGCAACUAGUUUAGCUAAUGAAUUUAAAGCUAAGAUGAAAAAAUAGGAAAAUGCCCAAAAAUCCUCCCCGGGCCCACGUCUCGGAAUCGGGUAAAAGUCACAAAUUAUGAACAUCCAUUCACCUAUGAGUCUAACCAUACCAAAUUCACUCAAAUCUGGUACCAAAAUCUCGAUCAAAAUCCCAAAAUUAUGCCUAAGAACUUUUCUCAAUUCUCCCAAAUUUUUCAUCCCAAAUCCGAAAUUAAAUGAUAAAUUCAUGUUUAGAUUAAUGGGAUAUAAUAAAAAAAGAAUUAGGAAUCAUUACCCACAAACUUCCUCCGAAAAUCUCCAAAUUUUGCCUUCAACCGAGCUCUCAAUCAAUUUUUAAAGUUAUGAAUUCAAACCCUCAUUUUUGAACUUUAAAUUCUGCCCAGAUGAGUUUUUCUUCGCGAACAUGAGACUACUAUCGUGAACGCGAUGAACAAAAUUUCACUGGCACAAAUUCCUCCUUCGCGAACGCGAGGGUCCUCUUGCUAACGCAUAGCUUACACUGGCGGACCCUUCGCGAACGCGUAGGCUUAAGGUCCACACCUUCGCGAAUGCGGGAGCAUCACUGCGAACGCGAAGUACAACUUAGCUGCCUCUCCCAGAUGCUCUACGCGAACGUGAUGAAGGAUUCUUCUGCAAUAAAACACCAGAAAAUCUGCCACUUCCGUAAGUCCAAAAAUGACCCAUUGAGCAUCAGAAACACACCCGAGGUCCCCAGGACCUUAACCAAACAUACCAAUCAAUCCUAAAAUAUCAUACGAACUUAGUCAAAACCCUCAAAUCACAUCGAACAAUGCUAAAACCACGAAUCACCAAUCCAAACUUAAUGAACUUGAAAUUUAAAAAUUCUACAAUCGAUACCGAAACCAACCAAACCACGUCCGAUUGAUUCUAAAUUUUGUACACAAGUCAUAUUCAACACUACGAACCUAUUUCAACUUUUGGAAUUAGAUUCCAACCCCGAUAUCAAAAUUUCCACUAUCGGCCCGAUGUUCCAAAAAUUUAACUUUCGCCAUUUUAAGCCUUAAUAAGCUACGGACCUCCAAAACACAAUCCGGACACGCCCCUAAGCCCAAAAUCAACCAACGGAGCUAAUGGAAUCGACGGAAUUCUAUUCUGGAGCCGUCUUCAUACUGCUCCGACUACGGUCCGAAUUCUAUGACUUAAACUCUCAUUUAGGGACUAAAUAUCCCAAAACACUGCGAAACUCAAGAUGAACCAUCCUGGCAAACCACAAUAGCAGGAAAAGACACAGGGAAAGCAAUUAAUAGGGUAUCGGGGCGUUAAUUCUCAAAAUGACCGGCCGAGCCGUUACAAUUUGGCACAUUUGCUCCAUCAACAACUCAUCCUUCAGCAUUUUUAAUAACAUUAUAAAUGACUUAUUGCUCAACGACCCAUACUUUUUAUGUGAAGCAGUUUAAUCAAACUGGAAAGCUUUGAAAUUUUCGAAUUUUGGUGUAGUGGCUUUUCGAAAUCUUUUAACAGGCUGUAAAACCUUUUGGCUUCAACAUUCAGUUCCUCAAGUAAAUCAUUAUAAUUAACGUCUAUAGUACCUCCAUCAUGAUUAGGAUAUAAAUUCCUCAGCAUUUCAUGUAUUUCAUCCUCAUCCACGUAAUCUUCUACUUUAUUAUCAUCUUCAACUUCGCAUUCCGACUGUGGCUCACCCAAAACUUCACCGUGAUGAUACCAAAAGGUAUAAUUUCGAAUUAUUCCAUAUACUUUUAAAUGUAUAUCGACUGUCACAUAUUCCUAAUAGUGUUAUAACAUUUGACACACGGAUAACAUAUUUCAUAAAAUUCUCCUGUUCUUCUAAAGGUAUAAUCCAAAAACUUUUGCACCCCAAUUAAAUAGGAUUCAUCAAGUCGGUUAUCAACAAGUUGCAUCCAUUGCUUACUUGGUGUCAUAACCUUGAAAGUAAAUUAAAAAAAAAGAUUUAAAUAAUUAAGAUAACAAAAGUAUUAAGAUGCACAUUACUUAAAAAAAGUACUAAGACGCACAUUACUUGUUAUCAAACUUGUUACACUCAUCUUUAUGACUAAACUUCCUACGAUUUCACAAGAAUGAAAUAAACUACAAGUUGAUAUGCAUAACAUAUAAUACACAAUUGCUUAAGAAAAUGUGAAAUUAAAACACAUAAGACACUUCAUAGCUAAAUCACUGAGUUUCUGUCUUAAAUGCUAGAUGUAUAGAAAGCUUGCAUUUCAGCAAGGAUAAGCUAGUUCGUACAACUAGAAGGCCAAAGAUAUGUGAUUUUUAUUUUAAUAGAUUGGUGCAUACUUGUUACUUCAGGUGCUUGAAACUUAAGAAAAGAAUAAGCAGAAAAAUUUCCAUAGUAUUCUAUUGGUUCAGAGUGAUGCAGUGGCAUAAGUUGAGGUUCAUGCUCUUAUGGGCUCUGUAAGUUAAGUGAAAACUUAAAAUGGUCUUCUGUGUAGAUUCAAACAUCAUAUGUCAUUGAAAAACUGAUGCUACCACACUGAUGUAGACCGCUUAUAAACUGGAGUAAUUUUCUAGUUAAACGAUCUUUUCAUCUAACAACCAUUGCAGCCUUCCACACUUAACGAGUAUUAAACAAUUACUAGCAUAUAAUGGAAGUUUUAAAAUGGUGAUUCAUGGUCUAUUUGCAAUAUCGUCUAAGAAUCCUUUGUAUUGCAUCAUCAGUUGUUGACUUAGCUUGAUGAGUGGGUCUAGUGUAUGUUUUCUGCUUUGUAAAGCUUUGCAAGAAUCUAAGAUACAACAGCUUAUUAAAGGCAUCCUCUGCAAUAAAUCUAGAAAUAGAUAGCUGAUUAUUGAAAUCAUUAUAUGUCAAAUGGUACUGUUUAACUAAAGCCAACAAAGAUAGCAGACUGUAACUUAUCACAACUUAAUGUAAACAAAAACAACUACUACCCUUCGUCACAACCAAAUUAGGAUCGACUAUUUAUAUCCUCACUAUCCAUCUCAUGCCAUUUAAGACCGUAUCAGUCCAAAAUGAUCACAACUUAAUAUACCACCCAUAGAUCUAUUAUUACAAGAGGCUCGAAUAUGUAUUAAUUCCGGAAUUGUGUAAUGCAAAUCGCAAAGGAGAAAACUAUCGCAGAGACGAAACUCUAGAAGAAAACUCAAAUUUCUCCUCCUUGACCUAUGAGCCCCAUCUUUAAACCAAUACUCUCAGUUUUAUCGCUCACACAAUAACUAUCAGUACUCUAAACAACCAAAUUGCAAAAAACAACUAAAGAAACAGAAAAUUGCAGAACCCGAUUUACGAUUUCUGGUUCAAUAAAAAAAAUGCAAGAUGAAAAAAAAUGAAAACGAAGCAGAUAAAAGAGAAAGAAAUUAAACUUACUCUUGAUAGGCAGAUAAUCCAAUAGUAGAGUUUGUGUAAAGUCCCUUGGAGAGAGAUCAAAAUUUUGACGCCAAAGUUCGGAGUGAUGAAUUUUGCAAGCUUCUGAAUUCUGACAGAUGAAUUUUGCAACCUUUGUGAACUUAGAAAAGAAUUGAAGUUGCUGCAUAAUUAGGGAUUGUAGCAUGAAAGUAAUAUUUUUGGAGAGAUUUUAGGAUGAAAGUGAAUGUCUAGCGAGAUUUCACAGUGAAUAUAUUUUAGGAGGGUUUUAUUUGCUUUACUUUCAGAUUUCCGCCCCUAUCCC
rnacentral:lncRNA from 1 species